rnacentral:lncRNA from 1 species
AUACGGUAUCUUAUCGAAUCACCAAAGAUUUUUAUUUGUAUUUUUAAAAUUUCAUCAAAAUCACCCAAAUAACAUCAAAACUAACCUAAAUCCCAUUAAAAUUAAAAACCCUAAAAGCUUCAAAAACCCUUCAUUCAGUAUAUUGACCAAAAUUAAUAUUUCAUGUUUCAAAUCACCUAAAAAAACUUUAAAAUCUAUACGGUAUCCUAUCGAAUCACCAAAGAUUUUUAUUUGUAUUUUUAAAAUUUCAUCAAAAUCACCCAAAUAACAUCAAAACUAACCUAAAUCCCAUUAAAAUUAAAAAACCCUAAAAGCUUCAAAAACCCUUCAUUCAGUACACUCCCCCCCC